ensembl:lncRNA
AAGGGGAGGCAAUGUUCUCUUUCUGGAGAUCUCUGUAUACCUGAGGGCUUCUCAAGAUUACUGAGACAAUGCUUUUGAGCAACUUCUGACUACCACUGAUGUAAAGAUAUCCCAUUGUCUCUGAGAUUCUGAUCAACUGAAGCCAAGUUGCACUGGCAACAAAGUAACCUGUUAGUGUUACAGAGGAUAACACCGAGUUGCUGAAGAUCAUAAAAUGCCCAUAAAAAAGAAGAAAGAGUAAGAUAACAACAAGAGCACUAAUUUUUCAUGCCCCUUUGGGACUGCUUUGGACUGCUGAAAGCAAGAGAUAAGAUCACUGGAUUCACCUGGAGAUUACAUUUACUUCAGAUAUGUGCAGAAGGGACUCAUGAGAAAAGGAAGUAUUUACAUUCUGGCAUGUUAAUGAGUUUCCAUCUUUUUUUUCACCUCUCUUUCCCCUUGUUCACUCUUGUAAUGUUUGUUUGUUUGUUUUCCAUCUGUUAAAAGAUGGGGAAUAUAUAUCCGCUUCACUGGCAUUGCAAGCACAUAUACACAG